rnacentral:ncRNA from 1 species
AUGGUUGAUCCUGCCAGUAGUCAUAUGCUUGUCUCAAAGAUUAAGCCAUGCAUGUGUAAGUAUGAACAAAUUAUGACAGUGAAACUCCGAAUGGCUCAUUAAAUCAGUUAUAGUUUGUUUGAUGGUAUCUACUACUCGGAUAACCAUACUAAUUCUAUAGCUAAUACGUGCACCAAACCCCAACUUCUGGAAGAGAUGCAUUUAUUGGAUAAAAGUUCAACGCGGGCUAUGCCCGUUGCUGCGAUGAUUCAUUAUAACUCGAUGGAUAGCACGGCCAUCAUGUCGGCUACGUAUCAUUCAAAUUUCUGCCCUAUGAACUUUUGAUGGUAGGAUAGUGGACUACCAUGGUGGUGACGGGUGACGGAGAAUUAGGGUUCGAUUGUGGAGAGGGAGCCUGAGAAAAGGCUACCACAUCCAACGAAGGCAGCAUGUGCGCAAAUUACCCAAUCGUGACACGGGGAGGUAGUGACAAUAAAUAACAAUACCGUGCUUAAUGACUUUGGUUAUUGGAAUGAGUACAAUCAAAAUCCCUUAACGAGGAUCCAUUGGAGGGAAAGUCUGGUGCUAGAAGCCACUGUAAUUCCAGCUCCAAUACCGUAUAUUUAAGUUGUUGCAGUGAAAAAGCUCGUAGUUGGACUUUGGGAUGGGCCAACCGGUCCACCCUAGGUGUGCACCGGUCGUCUCGUCCUUUCUAUCGAUGAUACGCUCCUGGCCUUAAUUGUCCAGAUCGUGCCUCUGGCGCUGUUACUUUGAAGAACUAGAGUGCUCAAAGCAAGCCUACUGUGACGUCCUACCACAUUUCCAGCCAAUUUUGCAGCAUCCG